GAUGAACGCUGACAGAAUGCUUAACACAUGCAAGUCUUUGGCGAAUCUGUGCUUGCACAGGCUAGCCAAGGCGGACGGGUGAGUAACGCGUAAAGAACUUGCCCUGCAGACAGGGAUAACAGACGGAAACGACUGAUAACACCUGAUACAGUUGCCGGCACGCAUGUGCCUGGCAAUGAAAAGAGAUGCUGCAGGAGAGCUUUGCGUCCUAUUAGCUUGUUGGUGAGGUGACGGCUCACCAAGGCGAUGAUAGGUAGCCGGCCUGAGAGGGUGAACGGCCACAAGGGGACUGAGAUACGGCCGUUACUCAUACGGGAGGCAGCAGUGGGGAAUAUUGGACAAUGGGGGCAACCCUGAUCCAGAAAUUCUGUGUGAACGAAGAAGGUUGUCGGAUUGUAAAGUGCUUUCAGCAGAGAAGAAGAAAGUGACGGUACCUGCAGAAGAAGCGACGGCUAAAUACGUG
rnacentral:rRNA from 1 species